rnacentral:rRNA from 1 species
GAUCCUGGCUCAGGACGAACGCUGGCGGCGUGCUUAACACAUGCAAGUCGAACGAGAAUCUGUGGAACGAGGAUUUCGUCCAAGUGAAGCAGAGGACAGUGGCGGACGGGUGAGUAACGCGUGAGGAACCUGCCUUUCAGAGGGGACAACAGUUGGAAACGACUGCUAAUACCGCAUGACACAUUGAAGUCGCAUGGCUUUAAUGUCAAAGAUUAUCG